AUUGGGUAGGACUUCUUUGGGGAAUAAAGAAAAAAUCUUUUCAACACUAGAGGUCAAAAAUUUAUUCUUGGUAUUGCAUAGGAACACUUGGUUUGGGAUUUCUUUACAUUUGAUAAGGGACUGGAAAAAUACACUGUCACCACCACCAUGUUAUAGCAGAAGUUUUCAUUAUGAAAAUGUUAGUGGUAUGAUUUGAGCACCUUGGUUAAAUUAUUAUUAUAAAGAAAUGGAACUGAUAGAUUUUAAUGGCAUCGACUUAUCCCCUAGAUCUCAUUGGUGAGGAUACAGAAUAAAUUGGAAGUUUCUGCAGGCAUCAGACUGAUCUUUCAUGUCAUGUAACAACUAAUCUCUAUGUAUAAAAUGGGGAAAUACAUGGUUGAGGGCUUUUUUGUAUGAAGCAGGUUUUAAACCAGGUUGCAGGAAAGUCUAACUGCUAUUUUAAAUACACGUAUCUCAUGCAGCAGAGGUGUUAGCUUUUUUGUUUUUUAAAUCCUUUUUCAAGUCUGAUAGGAAACAUUUCUUGCAAAUUAUAUCGUGACGCAUAUUAGGAGCUUCCGUGUGUAGGGUUCAGCUUGUCAGAACUGCUUUCAUGGCAGUCCAAGUUGAAACAGAGCAGAUUUUACCUGCUUAGUUCUGUCUUGUUUGGAUUUGUCUAGGCUUACGAACAUCUACUCAUCUGAAAUUAGUGUUUUUGAGAUAACACUGCCUGCUAUCUGGAAAGCGUUAAUCAGAUACACAGGCUAUUACAAAACACAGGUUUUCAUGGUACCAGGUAGCACGUUGUCAUCAAAACACAGUGCUGCUUUCACAUUGCAUGGUGCUGCUACAAAGCAAAAAUAGCAACGCCAAAUAUUUUAUGAAAUCCUUUCUGUUGUCCACUGGGAAGGCAAACAAGAACAGAACAGCUUUUUUCAGCUAGGCUUGAAGCAGCAAGAAUCUCUAAGCAGAAGGUCUUAUUAAUUCACAUUCCCAGGCAGGUUUGAUUGUGGGUUUUCCCUCUCCUGCUGUUUUCUUACAGAAAUGUAGGAAAGCUGCCUUUGAAGUGACAGGAUCAAUGAAAAAUAUAAAUGCAUAUGUUUGCUUUAGUCUAACUGAUGGCAUGCAACACUAAUAUAAAGUAAGCUUUUCAGUCGGUAGCUCUUGAAAAAGUGGAAGAAUAAAUAAAUUUACCACAUGCUGCUUCAGCUGCUUUCUCUCUGCAGGCUGUUGUCUACCUAAAAGAUAUAUAAGUGAAGGCAUGCUUGAGUCUUUUUGUUGGGGGGAGAAAAGUAGGGGAGAGGAUCUUAAUGGAUCAGGAAAUAUUUACAGCCCUCCUCCUGUUGCCACCCCCUUUUGUAGCCAAAACCUCAAACAGAAAAUUCCAUGGUUACAUUAAUUGCCAUCAGCUAGAUGGUGUGGGGAUAUGUCUGUCUUAGGUUUCUGUAAGUUUUCAUAUACCUUUUAUUGAAGAAACUGAUAUCCAAUAAUCUAGAAGUGCUUGAUAAUAAACACUGAACACAUCUGUAGAAACAGCUUUGUAUGCAUUAGUCUGCCUGUGGAUUGCACUUCUGUUUUCUUUUGAAACUUCUCCAGCUGAGCAGGUGAAUGUUGAGUUUUAUGCUCACUAAAUGUGAGAAAUGUCCUACAUAAAAUCGAAGUUGGGAUUGUUAAAAAGAAGUGAAACAAGCUUUUCAAUUUUUUGCAUGCUGUUGAGCAUGACUGAAACAUAACUUUUCCCUUGUGUCCACAAAGUCCAGUUCCUGAAGUUCUGGGGACACUUGAGGAGGAGGAAGAGAUUAAGAAUGUAGGUGUUCAAUUAACCACAAAAGAAGUCCUAAAGUAAGAUAUUUUGCAACUUAAUGUAUUCUGGACAGCUGGAGAUGAGAAGUGAAAGAACAAGGCAAAGAGACUGAGCAGUGGAGUUACUAAAUUCUGAAGGAAGAUUGGAAUUGGCUAUCAAAGAUUUUGUCCAGUUUUAUAUUUUCAAACUUAAUUCUCUUAUCCCCAUUGAGGUCUUUUUUUUUUUUUUUUUUCCUUGAAAGUGAAGGAAAAGGGGGUAGUUUUUGUCUCCUUUAUUGCAGAGCCACAUAGUGGUGGCUUUAUGGGCGCCCAGCAGUGGGGCUGGCACUUUAGAGUCUAAAGCCAUUUUUAGCAUACCUAGACAUGUAAUGACUUGACUUCCUACAAACUUUGAGAAGGUGUUUUACUGAUACAUGUCUGCUACAAAAAGUGUCCUAAUAUAUCUAAAAGUGAGUAAUCCUAGCACUCCUCAGUGCAGAGGUGAGAAUAAUUUUCUUGCUAUGCAUUAGCUAAAUUUCUAACAAAACCUUUACUGAGGUUGUUGAAAGCUGUUUGUAGCUGCUUGUCAACUCUAUGGGAUCUUUCUGGGGAAGUGAAAGGUGAUGCGACAUUAGUUGCCUAAUGCUGCCCAUAUUGUGUAUUUUGGUUUUUUAUUGGUAAAUUGUGACUUUACUGCAAUGUUCAUAUAUCCAAAAUGCUAAUUGUGACAAAUGCAAUCCAUAUGAGUGUUGGUGUGUUGCUUUGUUUCGUUUGGAUAGUACUGAAAUUGAUUCAAAAAGUUAAAAUAAGCCAUCACCAAUUGAAGAUGAGGAUGGAAUUAAGAUAAGCUUCACAAAGCAGCUAUCCUGACAGCUGUCCUUUGACUGAGGUCAUGAAUGGGACUUUGAGUACAUUAACUUGUUUUUUUCUCACAGCUGUAGGAAUGUUCAUGUGAAAUGCCUGUUUGUAACUAUCAGGACCCUUUGGGCAGGACGACGACUUCUGCAAUGCUGUAUUAUUUCAUUUUCUGCUAUCUCAGGUCAUCUUUUUGGUGAUGCAGUCCUAUUGUAUGGUAAAGGCUUCCACUUUAUUCACACAACAGAAAUUCAUACAGAAAACUGAUAUUGAUUUGAACUUGCAGCGGAACGGACCUGAUGGCAGAAUCUUGACCAGUUUGUUGCCAUUAGGAUUUCACUCAUUUAGGUACUGUGGAACUUCAACUAUUUCCUGAAAAUACUCUUUCUUUAUAUGCAUUGUUGUUCCAAACAUACAAUAAGGGCGGGAGAAAAUUCUGAUAAAACUUCUGUGCAUCCUUUAAUGAGGUUUGUUUUGUGCACAGAAUGUGUCACAGAUUCUUCUGCUUCUUGGUUGCGCUGCACUGUAGGAGACAGAAGAGAGCAAGAGUGUAUGUGUGGGCAUCUGGUUUUGAAAUACAUUUCUAGAAAAUGUGCAUAUAAAGACCUACAGCAUGAAGAUGGUUGGAAGGAUAGAAGUCACUAAUAUGCACACUGUGAAUGCAUCUCAUGGAACUUGCUACUUAUUUCCACUGUGGUUGGGUGUUCCUCUGAUGCGAUCCGUAUGACAACCAGGACACCUGAUCUUUGAUACAGCUGUAGUGCAGCGCUCACGUCUUGGCAAAAUAGCGGAGCAGCUGUGCAUGGAGGGCCUCAGUUGCUUGACAGAAAGACAUCCAGAGAAGUUGGCACGAUGGAGAACUCAUGUUGUCACAGAUAUGACACUCCAUCUUACUGUGUCCACAAAGCCCAGUCCCUGAAGCUGUGGGGAUGCUUGAUGAGGAGGAGAUCAAGAAUGUAGGUGGGCUACAUUAAGAAUGUCACCCAGCAGGCUGGCUUUCUGAUCCAUAGCCAAAACAGGUGGAAAGGACAAUCUGCUCUUUGCUCUUUCUUCUUCUGGGGUUAGGUGAGUUGUUCCUGUCACACAUCUGUUUUGGUCAAAACAUUGAAACAAUGUACUGGCUUGUUUGUUUUCUUGAUUUGCAGAUAUUUUUAGACAUUUUGUUCAC